CCUACGGGAGGCAGCAGUGAGGAAUAUUGGUCAAUGGACGAGAGUCUGAACCAGCCAAGUAGCGUGAAGGAUGACUGCCCUAUGGGUUGUAAACUUCUUUUAUAUGGGAAUAAAACGUUCCACGUGUGGGAUUUUGUAUGUACCAUAUGAAUAAGGAUCGGCUAACUCCGUGCCAGCAGCCGCGGUAAUACGGAGGAUCCGAGCGUUAUCCGGAUUUAUUGGGUUUAAAGGGAGCGUAGGUGGAUUGUUAAGUCAGUUGUGAAAGUUUGCGGCUCAACCGUAAAAUUGCGGUUGAAACUGGCAGUCUUGAGUACAGUAGAGGUGGGCGGAAUUCGUGGUGUAGCGGUGAAAUGCUUAGAUAUCACGAAGAACUCCGAUUGCGAAGGCAGUUCACUGGACUGCAACUGACACUGAGGCUCGAAAGUGUGGGUAUCAAACAGGAUUAGAUACCCCGGUAGUC
rnacentral:rRNA from 1 species